rnacentral:misc_RNA from 1 species
GAUGAAGAACGUAGCGAAAUGCGAUAAGUAAUGUGAAUUGCAGAAUUCAGUGAAUCAUCGAAUCUUUGAACGCACAUUGCGCCCGCCAGUAUUCUGGCGGGCAUGCCUGUUCGAGCGUCAUUUCAACCAUCAAGCCCCAGGCUUGUGUUGGGGACCUGCGGCUGCCGCAGGCCCUGAAAACCAGUGGCGGGCUCGCUAGUCACACCGAGCGUAGUAGCAUACACAUCGCUCAGGGCGUGCUGCGGGUUCCGGCCGUUAAACCCCUUUUUUACCCAUGGUUGACCUCGGAUCAGGUAGGAAGACCCGCUGAACUUAAGCAUAUCAAUAAGCGGAGGA